rnacentral:tRNA from 1 species
UCUAAUAUGGCAGAUAAGUGCAAUAGAUUUAAGCUCUAUAUAUGAAAAUUCAUUUUUCUAUUAGAA